GAUGAACGCUGGCGGCGUGCCUAACACAUGCAAGUCGAGCGAGAAGCUAAUUUGUGAACCUUCGGGGGAACUGUUUAGUGGAAAGCGGCGGACGGGUGAGUAACGCGUAGGCAACCUGCCCACAGGAGAGGGAUAGCCUCGGGAAACCGGGAUUAAGACCUCAUGACGCGAAGAGAAUGCAUAUUCUUUUUGUCAAAGAUUUAUCGCCUGUGGAUGGGCCUGCGUCUGAUUAUGUUAGUUGGUGAGGUAACGGCUCACCAAGACUGCGAUCAGUAGCCGACCUGAGAGGGUGAUCGGCCACAUUGGAACUGAGACACGGUCCAAACUCCUACGGGAGGCAGCAGUGGGGAAUAUUGCACAAUGGGCGAAAGCCUGAUGCAGCAACGCCGCGUGAGUGAUGAAGGUCCUAUGGAUUGUAAAACUCUGAUCUGAGGGAAGA
rnacentral:rRNA from 2 species